rnacentral:sRNA from 1 species
CCUAGGGUUGAAACCCUAGGCUAUUAAUCUGCCGUCCCUAUGGGACU